rnacentral:rRNA from 1 species
GGAAGUGAACCAUCUCAGUACCCACUGGAAGAGAAAACAAACUGUGAUUCCGUGAGUAGUGGCGAGCGAAAGCGGAUGAGGCUAAACCGUGUUCGUGUGAUACCCGGCAGGGGUUGCGGGUGCGGUGUUGUGGGGUUUGGUCGUCUCAGUUCUGCCGGACUGGGGAUGGCAUGUGCGUGGUGUUAGUGGAAGGCUUCUGGAAAGGGUCGCCGUAGUGGGUGAGAGUCCCGUACGCGAAAACACUGCGUGUGUCAUGGAUCGGAUACCCGAGUAGCAGCGAGCUCGUGGAAUUUGCUGUGAAUCUGCCGGGACCACCCGGUAAGCCUAAAUACUCCCUGGUGACCGAUAGCGGACUAGUACCGUGAGGGAAAGAUGAAAAGUACCCCGGGAGGGGAGUGAAACAGUACCUGAAACCGUGUGCCUACAAGCCGUCAGAGCCGAGGCUGCAGUUGUUCCUUGUGAACUUUUGUGGUGGUGAUGGCGUGCCUUUUGAAUAAUGAGCCGGCUAGUU